CCUACGGGUGGCAGCAGUGAGGAAUAUUGGUCAAUGGACGAGAGUCUGAACCAGCCAAGUAGCAUGAAGGAUGACUGCCCUAUGGGUUGUAAACUUCUUUUAUAUGGGAAUAAAAUGUUCCACGUGUGGGAUUUUGUAUGUACCAUAUGAAUAAGGAUCGGCUAACUCCGUGCCAGCAGCCGCGGUAAUACGGAGGAUCCGAGCGUUAUCCGGAUUUAUUGGGUUUAAAGGGAGCGUAGGUGGAUUGUUAAGUCAGUUGUGAAAGUUUGCGGCACAACCGUAAAAUUGCAGUUGAAACUGGCAGUCGUGAGUACAGUAGAGGUGGGCGGAAUUCGUGGUGUAGCGGUGAAAUGCUUAGAUAUCACGAAGAACUCCGAUUGCGAAGGCAGCUCACUGGACUGCAACUGACACUGAGGCUCGAAAGUGUGGGUAUCAAACAGGAUUAGAUACCCCUGUAGUC
rnacentral:rRNA from 1 species